rnacentral:rRNA from 1 species
AUUGAACGCUGGCGGCAGGCCUAACACAUGCAAGUCGAGCGAGCGGCGGACGGGUGAGUAAUGUCUGGGAAACUGCCUGAUGGAGGGGGAUAACUACUGGAAACGGUAGAUAAUACCGCAUACCAUCAGAUGUGCCCAGAUGGGAUUGGCUAGUAGUUGGGGUAACGGCUCACCUAGGCGACGAUCCCUAGCUGGUCUUAGAGGAUGACCAGCCACACUGGAACUGAGACACGGUCCAGACCCCUACGGGAGGCAGCAGUGGGGAAUAUUGCACAAUGGGCGCAAGCCUGAUGCAGCCAUGCCGCGUGUGUGAAGAGGGACUUCGGGUUGGAAAGCACUUUCAGCGGGGAGGCGUUACCCGCAGAAGAAGCACCGGCUAACUCCGUGCCAGCAGCCGCGGUAAUUC